UUAAAUAAACAAGUAAAUAAAUAUACAAAUAAUAAAAUUUAAUAAAACAAAUAAAAUAUAAAAGAAAGGGAUAUGCAGAUCCGGGAGGAUCAAAUUUUUCAGCACGGCAUUAAAUGCUGCGUUUAAGUAAGACCAGCAAAUCAUAUUUGAGAUAGGAAUAAUGUCAUACAACUUUCAUCUUAUUCUUACCAGAUAAGCCACUUGCAUCUUGCAAGAUACGCCACUUACCAUCUUUAUCUUUUAUGUAUAAGUACAUAUAUGCAAAUCAUUUUCUUUCACACACAUCACCAUAGACAUCCUAAAUUCUCUACACACACCAACCCCACAUAGGAUGGAGGAGUCCGAGGGGGGAGAUUUGCACACAACUGUAGAGUCAAGCACUACAAUCCAACCAUACUUUAUUUCCACAUCAAAGGUAAAUCUCCUUCCCCAAAUCUAAACCUUCAAUCCAUGAACUGCAUAGCAUGUUUUUUUUUAUAUACUCAACCAAAUCGCACAAUCCAAAACAAUAACUACGAUCUGGAAUCAAUCUUUUAAUCGUUUAAAUCGAAGCGAACCGAAUUCAAGAAUCAGACUUUAAUUCAUGAAAUCAAUUAGAAACUUACGGGGGCUGUUUCGGGGUUGUGCGGGGCUUUUCGGGUUGGUUUCGGGGCUGCGCGGUGUCGUUUCGGGGCUGUUCGAACAGCUAGCAGACCCGUGGCGACCGCAGACGGCAUGGAAGCGGCCAGCAGCAGUGUCUCCCAGCGUCUGACGGCGAAGGCGGCUUGGCUGGACGUUGAGGACAGCGGUGGCUUCGUGCGACGGAGGUGGCGAAGCCUGAAUCGGCGACAGCGCCGACAGCACUGCAGCGGCAACACUUCAUCUUCCCGGCGAGCACCGGCAGCGUCGUGAGGUGAAUUGGAGAAGCCGACGGGAAUUGGGAGGAAACUGCCGAUUUGGUGAGAGAGAAAUAGAGAGAGACGUGGAGAUGGUGGAAGUAUAAAUGGGGCUUUUGUUUUUUUUAAAAAAAAUAUUUGGGCCUUUGGUUGUUUUAAAGGAAUUGGGCCUUUUUAAUUCAAUUAGAUGAUUUGUAAAGUUGGGCUCCAUUUAAUUUGAGUUGGGCUUUAGAAUUUUAAUUUGAGAGAUAAGGUGGAGAAUUAGGAUUUUUGUAAAUAAAUCUUUGGAUUGAUAAUUGAAUAAAUUUAAUAGUGAGGAAUAUUUAAUUAAUUUUGAAAUAAUUUUGAAGUAUGAAUAAUUUAUCCCAAGUCGGGAAAACAUAUAAUUUUUCUUAACAAAGGGGAAAUAGUUGCGAGAAUUCAAUUAUGCGCUUAAAUAAAUUUUGAGAUUUUUGUUCGAUAUUGUGAUGGAAAAUAUGAGGAGCUACCGGAGGAAUUAUGGGCGUAAGCGGCCGACCGGCAUCGCCCCGCGGCGCCUCGGGCGGCCACUAAGGAAAUGGAAAGAAAGAGGGAGACGAUGUUCUCAAGUCACAUAAAUAAUUAAGGUUAUCUCCGCAAGUAAGGUCGGAGUAAGAAAUUCAAGUUAAAGGAACUAAACGAUGAAGGUUGAGCAGCGAAGUGGUGGAGGAAGUGCUAUUGAGACAAG